UGUCAAACGCCGUGACUUUAGCUGCCAGUCGCGAGCCUAUUGUUUUUUGUAGCGUGCUCUAAAGUUUAAAGUCUUAUAAGUGUAAAAUUCAUGUUUUGCCCUUUUUUAGCAAUAUUAAAGGGAGAAGGAUGCAGAUACUUUAAAUUUACUUUCGAGAAAGGCAACAGAAUCGGCGCCAAGAUCUCAUUUUUAUUGUAAUA